rnacentral:rRNA from 1 species
AACGAACGCUGGCGGCGUGCCUGACACAUGCAAGUCGAACGAGAAAGGGGCUUCGGCUCCGAGUAAAGUGGCGCACGGGUGAGUAACACGUAGGUAACCUGCCUCUAAGAUUGGGAUAACCUGUCGAAAGACGAGCUAAUACCGAAUAAGACCACGGCUCCCUCGGGAGCAGGGGUCAAAGGUAGCCUCUACUUGUAAGCUAUCACUUAGAGAUGGGCCUGCGCACCCCUAGCUAGUUGGUGGGGUAACGGCCUACCAAGGCAAAGAUGGUUAGCUGGUCUGAGAGGAUGAUCAGCCACACUGGAACUGAGACACGGUCCAGACUCCUACGGGAGGCAGCAGUGGGGAAUAUUGCGCAAUGGGCGAAAGCCUGACGCAGCAACGCCGCGUGAGUGAUGAAGGCCUUCGGGUCGUAAAGCUCUGUCGGAGGGAACGAAUGCUCUUGAGGUUAACAGCCUCGGGAAGUGACGGUACCCUCAGAGGAAGCACCGGCUAACUCUGUGCCAGCAGCCGCCGCGGUAA